rnacentral:rRNA from 1 species
UUCCGGUUGAUCCUGCCGGACCUGACUGCUAUCGGAUUGGUACUAAGCCAUGUGAGUCAUUGUAGCAAUACAAGGCAGACGGCUCAGUAACGCGUAGUCAAUCUACCCUAUGGACGGGAAUAACCUCGGGAAACUGAGAAUAAUGCCCGAUAGAACAUUAUGCCUGGAAUGGUUUAUGUUUCAAAUGAUUUAUCGCCAUAGGAUGGGACUGCGGCCUAUCAGCUUGUUGGUGAGGUAAUGGCCCACCAAGGCUAUUACAGGUACGGGCUCUGAGAGGAGAAGCCCGGAGAUGGGUACUGAGACACGGACCCAGGCCCUAUGGGGCGCAGCAGGCGAGAAAACUUUGCAAUGUGCGAAAGCACGACAAGGUUAAUCCGAGUGGUUUCUGCUAAAGAAACCUUUUGUUAGUCCUAGAAACACUAGUGAAUAAGGAGAGGGCAAGUCUGGUGUCAGCCGCCGCGGUAAUACCAGCUCUCCGAGUGGUGUGGAUGUUUAUUGGGCCUAAAGCAUCCGUAGCUGGCUAGGUAAGUCCCUUGUUAAAUCCACCGAAUUAAUCGUUGGAUUGCGGGGGAUACUGCUCGGCUAGGGGACGAGAGAGGCCGACGGUAUUUUCGGGGUAGGGGUGAAAUCCUAUAAUCCCGGGAAGACCACCAGUGGCGAAGGCUGUCGGCUAGAACGCGCCCAACGGUGAGGGAUAAAAGCUGGGGGAGCGAACCGGAUUAGAUACCCGGGUAGUCCCAGCUGUAAACGAUGCAGGCUAGGUGUUUGGGCGGCCACGCGCCGCUCUAGUGCCGCAGGGAAGCUGUUAAGCCUGCCGCCUGGGGAGUACGGCCGCAAGGCUGAAACUUAAAGGAAUUGGCGGGGGAGCACCACAAGGGGUGAAGCUUGCGGUUUAAUUGGAUUCAACGCCGGA